GCUAGUUAGUCUAGGAGUCCCAUCCUUUCUUUUCCCUUGAGGGUAACUAAUUCCAUGUUCCUUCUCUAGCCCCCGUCUUGAAUACAAGGCAAUCUUUCACCACCAGGCAAACUUUGGCCAGCUUAGUCUCGGACGUCAGUUCUGAUACGGACUAAUUAUGUACCGGGGUUUUACAAACUUCAGUGUUGAAUCCUGUCUUCAAAUGACAAUUUAGAGAAAGCCCAAUAUAGAAAAGAGAUCUAGUCAUAGCUGUUCUUAUACAGGCAGGCAUGAGGAAGGCCCCAAAGCCCAUGUCUGCAGCAUGCCUCAGUUACGACUUAUACCUACUGUUUGAUCAAAGCCCUGAGCAAGGUGGAAUUACUAAGACGUGACUCAUUAUAUCCAGAUGGUACAUUAUAUGGUACAUUGUAUUGAAAUGUUCGCAUUUACCUUCUUUCCCUGACCUUCCAUUCCACCAAAAGAAAUCCCAAGAUCAGUCCAAUUUUGAGUAGAAGACAACUUAGAUCUAAUCCAGCCUUAUCCUUCCCGUUUUAUAGAUGAUCAAGAGAACCUCAGAAGAAGCAACCUAACCUGGUCAGAAGUAAUUCAUGGUAGAGUUCAGUGGUGGAACAAGCUGUACCGGGGUGUUCAAGACAUGAUACUACACAUGGAAGCUAUGUUUCAGGGACAGCCGCUGUUCCUGGGUAGGUUGUAUAGUAUAUUGCCACAGUCCUGGAGGACAUGGGGAUCUAACCAGGGAUCCAGUUCUGGGAAAACUGCGGACUUCGACCAUUAGCAACUUCAUCUAGCUUUCUAAAUCCCCUCCAGAGUGUGGGCUAUACAAGUAUUUUCCACGUGGGCCAUGAGUUAAAACGAUUUGAAAGCAUUGUGCUGGAAUACUGGGCUAUGGGACUGUGUUCCAGUUUUGUGAGCGGCAUGUUACAAACAUCCUUCUGUGCAGGCUCUAGAUUUUAGUAACUUUCUGACCUCCAUUCUCUUUACUAUCGAAGAAUCUCAGACAGUUAUGGCUGCAGACUAAGUCCUGUUAUUAGCCCAAAAAGUAAGUCUCCCAACUUCUGGAAUGAUCAACUAUUUCCUCAUCCUAUGCAAAACAUCCUCUGUAUACUUCGUUUAAUCCCAACCACCCUUGUACCUAUUUCUAACCAGACAACUGAGGCUUGGUGAGGGGUAAUUUAGUUGCCAAUGGGUUACACAGUAAGAUGACACAUCUAGAACUCCAGCUCAGGCCAGGGUGCCAAAUUUGUGUUCUCAUCCCCAGAUUAUGUUGCCUCAUUGCAAAACUCAGAUUAUUCCAUGGAAAAACAGCAUCUCUGGAAUUCCCAUAUAGGAAUGAU
rnacentral:lncRNA from 1 species